rnacentral:tRNA from 1 species
UGGCUCAGUUGGUAGAGCAUGGUGUGUGCAACACCAGGUUUGUGGGUUUGAUUCCCAU